CUUUCAGGAAGCUCAAAGAAAAAUUCCGAGAAGAGAACAACGCCACUAAAGCAGGACACAGAUGACAAUCAAGAAACAACUAAGGAUCCAGAUAUAAUACCCCCGAAAAACGACUUCCUCGAUACGAUGGAUGGGCACAUUAAAAAAACCACUAUUAUUACAGCCGGUGAUCAAACACUGAAAGCAGUU